rnacentral:rRNA from 1 species
AGAACGAACGCUGGCGGCAGGCUUAACACAUGCAAGUCGAACGCCCCGCAAGGGGAGUGGCAGACGGGUGAGUAACGCGUGGGAAUCUACCUGGUUCUACGGAAUAACUGAGGGAAACUUCAGCUAAUACCGGAUGUGCCCUUCGGGGGAAAGAUUUAUCGCCAUUGGAGCGGCCCGCGUCUGAUUAGCUAGUUGGUGGGGUAAAGGCCCACCAAGGCGACGAUCAGUAGCUGGUCUGAGAGGAUGAUCAGCCACACUGGGACUGAGACACGGCCCAGACUCCUACGGGAGGCAGCAGUAGGGAAUCUUGCGCAAUGGGCGAAAGCCUGACGCAGCCAUGCCGCGUGAAUGAUGAAGGUCUUAGGAUUGUAAAAUUCUUUCAGCGGGGACAUAAUGACGGUACCGCAGAAGAACGCCCGGCUAACUUCGUGCCAGCAGCCGC